rnacentral:rRNA from 1 species
GUCCACGCCCUAAACGAUGCGUGCUCGGUGUUGGGAUUUUCAAUUGAUCUCAGUGCCUAAGCUAACGCGGUAAGCACGCCGCCUGGGGAGUACGGCCGCAAGGCUAAAACUCAAAGGAAUAGACGGGGACCCACACAAGCGGUGGAGCGUGGGGUUUAAUUCGAUGAUAAGCGGAGCACCUCACCCAGGUUUGACAUCCCGAGAAUCGUCCAGAAAUGGAUGAGUGCCGCAAGGAACUCGGUG